AUGAUGUUUGAAGUAAAUAAUCGCAUGUUUUUAGUUCGUCUUCGUAACAAUUAGUGGCAUUGAGUUUGAAUUUUUGGUGUUUUUGUUUUGAUUUUGGGGCAAUGAUUGGGAGAUCUGUAGCUUUUUGGCUAAGGUAGCUAAUCUGUAACUUUUAUUUUGUUUGAUUCUUAUGUUGUUCAUUUUUGUUAUAAAUCAUAUGUCUUUAUUUUUCGAAUUUAUUUGAAGAUGAUCCAAAAUACCUA
rnacentral:lncRNA from 1 species